rnacentral:rRNA from 1 species
CGGUGAACCCUUCGGGGGGAUCAGCGGCGAACGGGUGAGUAACACGUGAGCAACCUGCCCCUGACUCUGGGAUAGCCUCGGGAAACCGGGAUUAAUACCGGAUAUGACAUCGCCUCGCAUGGGGUGGUGUGGAAAGUUUUUCGGUCAGGGAUGGGCUCGCGGCCUAUCAGCUUGUUGGUGGGGUGAUGGCCUACCAAGGCGACGACGGGUAGCCGGCCUGAGAGGGUGACCGGCCACACUGGGACUGAGACACGGCCCAGACUCCUACGGGAGGCAGCAGUGGGGAAUAUUGCGCAAUGGGCGAAAGCCUGACGCAGCGACGCCGCGUGAGGGAUGAAGGCCUUCGGGUUGUAAACCUCUUUCAGCAGGGAAGAAGCGCAAGUGACGGUACCUGCAGAAGAAGCACCGGCUAACUACGUGCCAGCAGCCGCGGUAAUACGUAGGGUGCAAGCGUUGUCCGGAAUUAUUGGGCGUAAAGAGCUCGUAGGCGGUUUGUCGCGUCUGCUGUGAAAACGCGGGGCUCAACUCCGCGCCUGCAGUGGGUACGGGCAGACUAGAGUGCAGUAGGGGAGACUGGAAUUCCUGGUGUAGCGGUGGAAUGCGCAGAUAUCAGGAGGAACACCGGUGGCGAAGGCGGGUCUCUGGGCUGUAACUGACGCUGAGGAGCGAAAGCGUGGGUAGCGAACAGGAUUAGAUACCCUGGUAGUCCACGCCGUAAACGUUGGGCGCUAGGUGUGGGGCUCAUUCCACGAGUUCCGUGCCGCAGCAAACGCAUUAAGCGCCCCGCCUGGGGAGUAC